CUGUCUCCAGGAGCAACCCAAGCCUCCUGCUCACUCCAGCUCAGUGACCACCGCCAUCUUCAGUCAUCUUCAGUCUUCACUCUGUGCCUGCAUAUGCAAAUGAACUGCCAUCUUUGUUGGGUUAAUUUGCAUAGUUGCUCUGAUUGGCUGGUGGGUGUAGCAGAGCGGCAGAGUGAUGGUUACUUUGCAUGUUUCUCUUUUAUCAUAUAGGACUAGCAAAGAGACAACUUUCUGACAUAUCCUGCCUGCAACUUUGACAUCUGAAAUUCCUCUACCACUCCCAUCCAUCAUAUUGCUAGAGAAAUUAUGGAAAUAUGCAAAUAAAAUAAUAGCUUUUUUUUUUAGUUUGUAUCUCAGCUCCAUGUCCAGCCAUUACAGAAAAUACAUUUGAAUACAGAACAGAAAGGGGGAAGCACAUAAAAAUAAGGAGUAAUUCUGAGGCCUUGAAAUCUGACAGAGGACAACUGUCGGGGACCAGAAGCAGGAAACUUAAAGGCAUCAAAGAAGAAAAAUAGGUCUUUUACGAUUCUGCCUAAAGCUCUAGAAUGUUGGUUCGCUGGGGUCCCUACUUUCAGAGUCCUGACUCAGAUCGUUUAUCUGCACCUACACGGCCUGCUGCCAUGGCGCCUGGCCAGUGUCCUCCCCUGUGCAGCCUUUUCAGG